UACGUAGGGUGCAAGCGUUGCCCGGAUUUAUUGGGCGUAAAGGGCGCGUAGGCGGCUCUGCACGUUCGUUGUGAAAUCGCCCGGCUCAACUGGGCGGGGUCAGCGGAUACGGCAGAGCUUGAGCAAGCUAGGGGGCAAUGGAAUUCCCGGUGUAGUGGUGGAAUGCGUAGAUAUUGGGAGGAACACCAGUGGCGAAGGCGGUUGCCUGGGGCUUUGCUGACGCUGAUGCGCGAAAGCGUGGGGAGCGAUCCGG
rnacentral:rRNA from 1 species